CCCCACGUUCGGAUUGCAGGCUGCAACCCGCCCUGCAUGAAGCCGGAAUCGCUAGUAAUCGCGAAUCAGAAUGUCGCGGUGAAUACGUUCCCGGGUCUUGUACACACCGCCCGUCACACCAUGGGAGUCGGAAAUGCCCGAAGUCAGUGACCCAACCGCAAGGAGGGAGCUGCCGAAGGCAGGUCCGGUAACUGGGGUGAAGUCGUAACAAGGUAUC
rnacentral:rRNA from 1 species